rnacentral:sRNA from 1 species
GUAUAGCCCGGGUAGCAGCGGUAUCCUUUAGCUCCUUUCUUUAAGGAGCUAAAGAUAUAGCGAAUAACCGGAAACAGC